CAAGCGGUGGAGCAUGUGGUUUAAUUCGACGCAACGCGAAGAACCUUACCUGGGUUUGACAUAUAGGUUGUAGGGAACUGAAAAGGGACCGACCCUUCGGGGAGCCUAUACAGGUGUUGCAUGGCUGUCGUCAGCUCGUGUCGUGAGAUGUUCGGUUAAGUCCGCUAACGAGCGCAACCCUCGUCGUAUGUUAUAUGUGUCAUACGAGACUGCCGGUAAAAAGCCGGAGGAAGGUGAGGAUGAUGUCAAGUCAGCAUGACCUUUAUAUCCAGGGCUACACACACGCUACAAUGGUCUGUACAAUGGGUAGCCAAGCCGCGAGGCGGAGCCAAUCCUGAAAGCAGGCCUCAGUUCAGAUUGCAGUCUGCAACUCGACUGCAUGAAGCCGGAGUUGCUAGUAACCGCAGGUCAGCAAUACUGCGGUGAAUACGUUCCCGGGUCUU
rnacentral:rRNA from 1 species